rnacentral:rRNA from 1 species
GUGCCAGCCGCAGCGGUAAUACGAAGGGCUAGCGUUGUUCGGAAUUACUGGGCGUAAAGCGCACGUAGGCGGGUAUUUAAGUCAGGGUGAAAUCCCGGAGCUCAACUCCGGAACUGCCUUUGAUACUGGGUACCUGGAGUGUGGAAGAGGUGAGUGGAAUUCCGAGUGUAGAGGUGAAAUUCGUAGAUAUUCGGAGGAACACCAGUGGCGAAGGCGGCUCACUGGUCCAUUACUGACGCUGAGGUGCGAAAGCGUGGGAGCAAACAGGAUUAGAUACCCUGGUAGUCCACGCCGUAAACGAUGAAUGUUAGCCGUCGGGCAGUUUACUGUUCGGUGGCGCAGCUAACGCAUUAAACAUUCCGCCUGGGGAGUACGGUCGCAAGAUUAAAACUCAAAGGAAUUGACGGGGCCCGCGACAAGCGGUGGAGCAGUGUGG